UGGAUAUGUUGUUGCCCUUACACU
rnacentral:piRNA from 1 species